AGGAGAAAUCGCAUAGGAGAUCUCGUCAAGGAAUAUCGCAAAUCAGGUGAGCCUUGAUGUGGGGACUUGGGCCGGAGGGGAUUCAGAGUAGCCACGGUGAUUGUCUUUGGACUUUUAAAUAAGCGUUGGUUUUCAUUAGUUUCCCUUUAAUUAUUAUUUAUUUUUGGGUUGUAAUAAGGCCAUUUUCACUUUCCUUUUAUUUCUUUUUGGGAUUAUUUUAAUUUUAAUAACUUCAAA